AAGAAUAUAUAUCAGCAUUUGUGCUAGAAUAAUAACAAUUAUUCUAAUUUAUUCUAACAGAAUCUAAUUCUGAGUAAGCACCUGAAGAUUAUUUGAGAUUCACAGAAGGAUGGAAAUAGAAGAAUCAGAACAUGAUAGCAAAAAGAAAAAAGAGAGCUUUGAGCUUUUUGAAAAGAAGCUGAAGUAAAAUUAGAGAUAAAUAAACAAGCAAAUGUAUAAACAAGAUGAAGAUUCCAUAGGAAGUUGGAUCCAAUUAACAUGUUGUGACAAGAAAAGUAACAAAUACAGCAUUUUCAGAUACGAAUCAGCAUUUUCUUUAGACUGGGAAACUAGUCACAGUAACACCUCUAGGAAAGAACUCAUAUUAAUUUUUCAGCUGGAAAAACCCUUGUUGGCUUAAGGCCUUUUGUGAGGCAGAAAGGGUUAGCUCCUUGGCUGGCUGGUUGCACACAAAAUAGAUGGAUGUGGAUUUUCAGUUGUCUCUAACAAGUCCCUGGUCUCUCAUUAGGACUGUUCUCUUCUCGUAACGUGUGCUGAGAGCUUAUCACAUCUCCUAAACUUGCAUUUGCCCCUCAUUGCACAGGAGGAGAAUUGAGCCCUGAGGGACGUCGCUGGUGACCAGCCACCAGCAAGAUGUGGCCUCACUCACCACAACCCUUUGAGCUCUGUCCUUCAGCCAGUUCUUUGCCCACUGUGUAGUGAACCUACUCAUCCCACCAUUGGAUAACUUGUCCAGAAGGAUGCUGUAAAGGACAAUAUCAAAAGCCUUACUAAAAUCCAGAAAAACUGCAACCAUUACCUUCCCUUCAUUCACUAGAUAUGUGACCUUAUCACAAAAGGGUAUCAGACUGGUUAAACAGGACUUUCCCUUCUGAACCCAUGUGCUCAUACUCCAGGUAAUUUAAUCUUUCAGUCCUCAGAUUGUGGGGGGGAAAUGCCAUGUAAAACCUCACUACUAAAUUUAGGAGAUUGGGGGUUUUUUUCUCUUUGCUUUCUUUGCUUUGUGGGUCUACAGUCUAGAAAUCAUGCUUGCUCAUAACCCUCCUCAAACCUAGCACCAGUAGAGGAAUAGGACUCUGUGGUUUUCUCCCACUGUUCCUGUUAUAUGAGGAGGCCACCAGGGCAGACUGGCAGAGCAGUAAUGCCUUAAGCUGCUGCAGCAGAAGCAACUGAAGCUCACCUGCCAGAGGCCUGAUUUACCUGAACAGUGCUGCUGCCUGCCCUGUGAGGCAGGGCUCGCUUGGAACACCUCGGGUAGUCGUGACAGAGCAGCUGAAUCCCAGGCGGGAGGAAGGAAGUCCAGAGAGCUUUAGGCAUACUGGCCUGCAAUUGCAAAGACCCAUUCACAUGAUUCAGUGCAGGAAUCUGGAUGCCCAAAAUGAGCUACUGAACAGAGUUCCCUUCUGGCUACCCGAAAUUAUGUAUAUUGCUGAGUCAUGCCAUCCUCCAGCUGGUGAUUGUGGUCUUCCUCACCACUUCCUGCCAUAUUAGAGCAAUCCAGUGAGAGGCCAAGAGAGAAGACCUCUGGUUUGUGCAGAAUUCAGUGCUGUGCAUACCCUAAUGACAUCCCUGUAAACAUCUUGUUAUUGUUGGAGAGCAUAUUGACUUUUUGUAAGAGCAGCUGCUACCCUCCUAGAGGGUAGGGCAGCCCUCAAGACAACCCUCAUAGAGUCACAGGAAAUAGGACCUUGGAGGACAUCCAGUCUAUGAUCCUAUCCAUCUAAGCUGUUCCAGAAGGCUGCUUGCCUAAACUCUACCUGGUUGCCUUUGAGUUCUGUAAAAUUUCAUGCUCCAGCAGAAAAUCAUAAUAUAAGUAUUUGCAUGGAUUGAAGAGAGACUCUGGUAGAAGUUCUGGACUGUCUUUUUUGAUUAAACCCGAACUUGUAGUGUAGGAUCUGGAACACGCAAUGCAGAAAGGGAACUGUGCCUAUUCCAGUAGAGAAUUCCAUGUGAAAGGUCUGCUUUUAUACAUUUCAGAAGAAAAAAAUCUCAACUUCUCGGAAAGUUUCUGCAGAUUGAAAUAUUGUUAAUGCCAGAUAGUGAGCAAGUCGGUCAUGCAACACAACAAACUGCUUUGGAAGGAAAAACAGCUGAGCGGAGAACAGAUAAUGCAUACGUCACUUCAUCUUCCUGCUGUGAAACCACAGUAAUCCCACAGAGAUCUGCUAAAAAAGAAGAAAUUUUUUUCUGCAUCUAGCUAAAAACUUCCACAUGUUGAAAAAAAGUGUUUUAGGAUAAAGAAGAUUACUUUUCUGUGACAGGAGCAUCCUGGAAUCUUCUUCCUUGGUUAACGCUUUAAGUUUUACUACGCUGAACUAUUUUGAGUGGAGAGAAAACAACAUAUCUGUGAGGUUAAGCUUGGUUUUAGAUAUUCAAAGACAAAACAAAAUAAGUAAAAAUUCUGUAGCAAUCUAGGCCAUACACACUACAAUACCAUGUACCCCUGUUUGAAUAUCUAUACAAAUUCUCCUACUUCAGCACAGCUCAGAAGAUUAAAAAAUGUAUAAUUUUACUGAUAUUUUCAAAGGUUUAGCCACAUGUUGGUGUUUUAUUCAUAGACGAUUUUUAAAUUAGUUGAUGCAUUGAAAGGAGGCAUUAAUUCCUUCCUGAUAUUAAAUUUCCUGAUUGCAAAGAUUGUAAAGAAAGUACUCACUUAAAAUUCUCAGAUGUAAUCAGAACCAGCUAGGUUAUAUUUUUAGACUGAUAGGAAAAUAAACUGUCUCCAUGACUCAUCAAGAUAUUUUAAGAAUGUUCCUAAUUCA